GCCUGGAUAGCUCAGUUGGUUAGAGUGUGGAAGUGAUACCACCAAGAUUACAGGUUCAAUCCCCAUGUGGGACA